rnacentral:misc_RNA from 1 species
GUCAAUUACAAAUUUAAGUGACAAGCAAUUGUCUUUGAACCUUGGCCAAUUGUUGGAUAGAUGCAUCUAAUGCACAUAUUUCUUUCAGUGAUGCCCCUUUUUCUUGGAGAUUAAAUAUCAUUAAACAAGAUAGUCAUAAUGUCUUUUGCUCUUGCAAUUUGAUGCAUUUUGCUAGGAGUGGAAAAAGUAGUUUAACUUGUAAAGCCUACGGCAAUAAUAAUGAGAGUGUUUGGUUUGACAUAUAAGUAAGUCAAAUCUAAUAAGUAUCAAGUUACAUAUAGAUUAGUGUUUAGUUUGACUCAUAAGUAAAAGAUACUUAAAAUAAAGCAGAAG